rnacentral:rRNA from 1 species
CCUACGGGUGGCAGCAGUGGGGGAUAUUGCACAAUGGGGGGAACCCUGAUGCAGCGACGCCGCGUGGGUGAAGGAGUGCUUCGGCAUGUAAAGCCCUAUCGGCAGGGAAGAAGCAAGACGGUACCUGACUAAGAAGCCCCGGCUAACUACGUGCCAGCAGCCGCGGUAAUACGUAGGGGGCGAGCGUUAUCCGGAUUCACUGGGUGUAAAGGGAGCGUAGACGGCCAUGCAAGCCAGGGGUGAAAGCCCGGGGCCCAACCCCGGGACUGCCCUGGGAACUGUGCGGCUAGAGUGCGGGAGGGGCAGGCGGAAUGCCUGGUGUAGCGGUGAAAUGCGUAGAUAUCAGGAGGAACACCGGCGGCGAAGGCGGCCUGCUGGACUGCGACUGACGGUGAGGCUCGAAAGCGUGGGGAGCGAACAGGAUUAGAUACCCCUGUAGUC